rnacentral:rRNA from 1 species
UACGUAGGGUGCGAGCGUUAAUCGGAAUUACUGGGCGUAAAGCGUGCGCAGGCGGUCGUGACAAGUCACUUGUGAAAUCUCCGGGCUUAACUCGGAACGGUCAAGUGAUACUGUCGGACUAGAGUACGGAAGGGGCAACUGGAAUUCUCGGUGUAGCGGUGAAAUGCGUAGAUAUCGAGAGGAACACCUGCGGCGAAGGCGGGUUGCUGGGCUGAUACUGACGCUGAGGCGCGAAAGCCAGGGGAGCGAACGGG